rnacentral:lncRNA from 1 species
UGACAGUGAGAGUCGCUAGCAAAUGAAAUAUUGUGCUUUCUUAGCAAAACGCAGAGAGCACACAUGCGAUUCACAUGUAAAUUGUAAUCAUGGCCACUGACCCAUAUGGUCUCCAUAAAGAAAUGCAGAGGGUUUAAUUUUCCAAAGAUCAACGGAUAGUGGAGAUGCUCUAAUUUCUAUAAAGUGUUACAUAAAGAAAUGUAUAUAUCAAUGCACAUUCUUCUUCUUAUAUCUACCAUAGAUAUAUAUUGAAAUGCAGGGAAGCUUCUUUCGUGGAA